rnacentral:rRNA from 1 species
CCUACGGGUAGCAGCAGUGGGGAAUAUUGGACAAUGGGGGCAACCCUGAUCCAGCCAUGCCGCGUGUGUGAAGAAGGCCCUCGGGUUGUAAAGCACUUUCAGUGAGGAAGAACGCCUGGUGGUUAAUACCCAUCAGGAAAGACAUCACUCACAGAAGAAGCACCGGCUAACUCCGUGCCAGCAGCCGCGGUAAUACGGAGGGUGCGAGCGUUAAUCGGAAUUACUGGGCGUAAAGCGCGCGUAGGUGGCUUGAUAAGCCGGUUGUGAAAGCCCCGGGCUCAACCUGGGAACGGCAUCCGGAACUGUCAAGCUAGAGUGCAGGAGAGGAAGGUAGAAUUCCCGGUGUAGCGGUGAAAUGCGUAGAGAUCGGGAGGAAUACCAGUGGCGAAGGCGGCCUUCUGGACUGACACUGACACUGAGGUGCGAAAGCGUGGGUAGCAAACAGGAUUAGAUACCCGUGUAGUC